rnacentral:rRNA from 1 species
GACGAACGCUGGCGGCGUGCCUAAUACAUGCAAGUAGAACGCUGAAGGAGGAGCUUGCUUCUCUGGAUGAGUUGCGAACGGGUGAGUAACGCGUAGGUAACCUGCCUGGUAGCGGGGGAUAACUAUUGGAAACGAUAGCUAAUACCGCAUAAGAGUAGAUGUUGCAUGACAUUUGCUUAAAAGGUGCAAUUGCAUCACUACCAGAUGGACCUGCGUUGUAUUAGCUAGUUGGUGAGGUAACGGCUCACCAAGGCGACGAUACAUAGCCGACCUGAGAGGGGGAUCGGCCACACUGGGACUGAGACACGGCCCAGACUCCUACGGGAGGCAGCAGUAGGGAAUCUUCGGCAAUGGACGGAAGUCUGACCGAGCAACGCCGCGGGAGUGAAGAAGGGUGUCGGAUCGUAAAGCUCGGUUGUAAGAGAAGAACGAGUGUGAGAGUGGAAAGUUCACACUGUGACGGUAUCUUACCAGAAAGGGACGGCUAACUACGUG